rnacentral:rRNA from 1 species
UGGCUCAGAUUGAACGCUGGCGGCAGGCCUAACACAUGCAAGUCGGACGGUAGCACAGAGAGCUUGCUCUUGGGUGACGAGUGGCGGACGGGUGAGUAAUGUCUGGGGAUCUGCCCGAUAGAGGGGGAUAACCACUGGAAACGGUGGCUAAUACCGCAUAACGUCGCAAGACCAAAGAGGGGGACCUUCGGGCCUCUCACUAUCGGAUGAACCCAGAUGGGAUUAGCUAGUAGGCGGGGUAAUGGCCCACCUAGGCGACGAUCCCUAGCUGGUCUGAGAGGAUGACCAGCCACACUGGAACUGAGACACGGUCCAGACUCCUACGGGAGGCAGCAGUGGGGAAUAUUGCACAAUGGGCGCAAGCCUGAUGCAGCCAUGCCGCGUGUAUGAAGAAGGCCUUCGGGUUGUAAAGUACUUUCAGCGGGGAGGAAGGCGA